rnacentral:rRNA from 1 species
GGACCCGCACAAGCGGUGGAGCAUGUUCUUUAAUUCGAUGAUAACCGAAGAACCUUACCAGGGUUUGACAUCCCGAGAAUUUCUGUGAAAGCAGAGAGUGCUUUAUUGAGCUCGGUGACAGGUGUUGCAU